rnacentral:rRNA from 1 species
UACGUAGGGGGCGAGCGUUGUCCGGAUUUAUUGGGCGUAAAGAGCGUGUAGGCGGCCAGGUAGGUCUGCUGUGAAAACUCGAGGCUCAACCUCGAGACGUCGGCGGAAACCAUCUGGCUAGAGUCCGGGAGAGGAGAGUGGAAUUCCUGGUGUAGCGGUGAAAUGCGCAGAUAUCAGGAAGAACACCCGUGGCGAAAGCGGCUCUCUGGAACGGUACUGACGCUGAGACGCGAAAGCGUGGGGAGCGAACAGG